AGAAUCAACGCUGGCGGCGUGCCUAACACAUGCAAGUCGCACGAGAAAGGGACUUCGGUCCUGAGUACAGUGGCGCACGGGUGAGUAACACGUGAAUCAUCUACCUCCGAGUGGGGAAUAACUGAGAGAAAUCUUAGCUAAUACCGCAUAACACUUAUGAGUCAAAGCAGCAAUGCGCUUGGAGAGGAGUUCGCGGCAGAUUAGUUAGUUGGCAGGGUAAUGGCCUACCAAGACGAUGAUCUGUA
rnacentral:rRNA from 1 species